GAUGAACGCUGGCGGCGUGCUUAACACAUGCAAGUCGAACGGAAAGGCACAAGCUUGCUUGGGUACUCGAGUGGCGAACGCGUGCGUAACAGGAGGGCGAUCUGAUCUGCACUUCGGGGUAAGCCUGGGAAAGUGAGUCUACUCCAGGAUCGGACGAUGGCUACGGUUCAAUUCUGGAAAGUUUCUUAGGUGUGGGAGGAGAUUGCGGCGUUUCAGGUUGUUGUAGGGGUAGUGGCCUAGCAAGACGUCGACGGGUAGCCGGCAUGAGAGGGUGUAGGGACACAUUGGAAUUGAGAGGCAGCCCACACUGGGACGGAAGGGAGCAGGGGGGAAUAUUUGACAAUGGGCGAAAGCCUGAUGCAGGAACGCCGCGUGGUGGUAGACGGCCUUCGGGUUGUAAACUCCUUACGCGAGUAACGAAGCGUUUUUGUGACGGUACCUGAAGAAGAAGCACCGGCUAACUACGUG
rnacentral:rRNA from 1 species